rnacentral:rRNA from 1 species
UAGAGUUUGAUCAUGGCUCAGGAUGAACGCUAGCGACAGGCCUAACACAUGCAAGUCGAGGGGCAGCACGGUGUAGCAAUACACGGGUGGCGACCGGCGCACGGGUGAGUAACGCGUAUGCAACCUGCCUACUACAAGGGGAUAACCCGUUGAAAGACGGACUAAUACCCUAUAACACAGGGGAUCCGCAUGGAUAUAUUUGUUAAAGAUUUAUCGGUAGUAGAUGGGCAUGCGUUCCAUUAGCUAGUUGGUGAGGUAACGGCUCACCAAGGCGACGAUAGGUAGCCGGCCUGAGAGGGUGAACGGCCACACUGGAACUGAGACACGGUCCAGACUCCUACGGGAGGCAGCAGUGGGGGAUAUUGCACAAUGGAGGAAACUCUGAUGCAGCGACGCCGCGUGAGUGAAGAAGGCCUUCGGGUCGUAAAGCUCUGUCCUAGGGGAAGAUAAUGACGGUACCCUAGGAGGAAGCCCCGGCUAACUACGUGCCAGCCGCCGCGGUAAUACA